rnacentral:rRNA from 1 species
UACGAGGUGGACAAACGUUAUUCGGAUUUACUGGGCUUAAAGCGUGCGUAGGCGGCUCAGAAAGUUGGGUGUGAAAGCCCUCGGCUCAACCGAGGAAUUGCGCUCAAAACUACUGAGCUUGAGGGAGAUAGGGGAGAGCGGAACUGAUGGUGGAGCGGUGAAAUGCGUAGAUAUCUGGAGGAAUACCGGUGGCGAAGGCGGCAUCCUGGACCGACAUUGACGCUGAGGAGCGAAAGCUAGGGGAGCAAACGGG